GCAGGCCCCUGGAAAUUUUAUCCUUUGGCCAGUUAGAUUAGCAAAAGUAAUUGCAAAGGAGAUUAGAGUACAAGAAAAGGAAGAUGUGAAUGAAUCAUUACCACAACAGACAAUUCUAGAACGACUUGGUGCAAUGGCAGCGACUAUCACCUUGCAACCUAUACAAUUAGAAAUGCCUCCCUAAGCCACAAAUAGGACCUUCAACACCCUUUUUUUUAUAUGUCAAAAGGAUAUUUUUGAAGUUCUCUCUGGCACUGAUAUGUUAUGUAUAUCAGUAAUACAACUUUGGUUGUUGUAUUUACAUCGUAGAUGCACUGAGAAGAAGAAUGAUCACAUAUAUGGAUUUAUUGAUCCUAUUGCCAUUCAAGGC